GAACGCUGGCGGCGUGCUUAACACAUGCAAGUCGUACGAGACGAUUGAAAGCUUGCUUUUGAGAGUCGAGUGGCAAACGGGUGAGUAACGCGUAGACAACCUGCCGUAAAGAUGGGGACAACAGUUCGAAAGGACUGCUAAUACCGAAUGUUGUAGAGUUUCCGCAUGGGGAUCCUACUAAAGGUGGCCUCUACUUGUAAGCUAUCGCUUUACGAUGGGUCUGCGUCUGAUUAGCUAGUUGGUGGGGUAACGGCUUACCAAGGCGACGAUCAGUAGCCGGUCUGAGAGGAUGAACGGCCACAUUGGAACUGAGACACGGUCCAGACUCCUACGGGAGGCAGCAGUGGGGAAUCUUCCGCAAUGGGCGCAAGCCUGACGGAGCAACGCCGCGUGAGUGAAGAAGGGUUUCGACUCGUAAAGCUCUGUUGUCGGGGACGAAUGUGGAGAUGGUGAAUAACCAUUUCCAAUGACGGUACCUGACGAGGAAGCCACGGCUAACUACGUGCCAGCAGCCGCGGUAAUACGUAGGUGGCGAGCGUUGUCCGGAAUUAUUGGGCGUAAAGGGAGCGCAGGCGGGAGGUCAAGUCUAUCUUAAAAGUGCGGGGCUCAACCCCGUGAGGGGAUGGAAACUGGUCUUCUUGAGUGCAGGAGAGGAAAGCGGAAUUCCUAGUGUAGCGGUGAAAUGCGUAGAUAUUAGGAGGAACACCAGUGGCGAAGGCGGCUUUCUGGACUGUAACUGACGCUGAGGCUCGAAAGCGUGGGGAGCGAACAGGAUUAGAUACCCUGGUAGUCCACGCCGUAAACGAUGAAUGCUAGGUGUAGGAGGUAUCGACCCCUCCUGUGCCGGAGUUAACGCAAUAAGCAUUCCGCCUGGGGAGUACGGCCGCAAGGCUGCAACUCAAAUGAAUUGACGGA
rnacentral:rRNA from 1 species